AGAGUUUGAUCCUGGCUCAGGAUGAACGCUGGCGGCGUGGAUAAGGCAUGCAAGUCGAACGGACACUUUCGCAAGAUUGUGUUAGUGGCAGACGAGGUAGUAACACGUAGGAACCUACUUCCAAGUCGGGAAUAACGAGCCGAAAGGUUCGCUAAUACUCGAUAGUAUCUUCGGAUUAAAGAUUUAUCGCUUGGAAAAGGGCCUGCGGAGUAUCAGCUUGUUGGUAGGGUAAUGGCCUACCAAGGCAGUGACGCUUAGGGGAGGUGAGAGCCUGGCCCCCACCGAUGGAACUGAGACACGGUCCAUACACCUACGGGUGGCCGCAGUCGAGAAUCUUCCGCAAUGGACGAAAGUCUGACGGAGCGACGCCGCGUGAUGGAUGAAGUCCUUUGGGACGUAAACAUCUUUUGUCAGGGAGAAAGUUUUGAUAGUACCUGAAGAAUAAGGGGUUGCUAAACUCGUGCCAGCAGCAGCGGUAAUACGAGUGCCCCAAGCGUUAUCCGGAAUCAUUGGGCGUAAAGGGUGUGUAGGCGGUCGUAUUAGUCUCCUGUAAAAUCCUCGAGCUUAACUCGAGAUCUGCAGAGGAAACGGUACAACUAGAGGAUGAGAGGGGUGAAUGGAACUCAUGGAGUAGGGGUGAUAUCCGUUGAUAUCAUGGGGAACACCAAAAGCGAAGGCAAUUCACUGGCUCAUUCCUGACGCUGAGACACGAAAGCGUGGGUAGCGAACGGGAUUAGAUACCCCGGUAGUCCACGCCCUAAACGUUCUUCACUAGCUUUGGGGAGUAUCGACCCUCUCCGAGGCGAAGCUAACGCGUUAAGUGAAGCGCCUGGGUAGUACGGCCGCAAGGCUAAAACUCAAAGGAAUAGACGGGGACUUGCACAAGCAGUGGAUUAUGCGGUUUAAUUCGAUGAUAAACGAAAAACCUUACCAAGAUUAGACAUCUACACGACGAAUAUUAGAAAUAGUAUUCUUCCGCAAGGACGGGUAGACAGGUGUUGCAUGGCCGUCGUCAGUUCGUGAUUUGAGUUGUUCCCUUAAGUGGGGUAACGAACGCAACCCUCGUUGCCAGUUACAAGUGUCUGGCGAGACUGCCCCGUAUAGAGUGCAUGAAAAAUUCGUGCUCUCCAUACGGGGAGGAAGGCGAGGAUGACGCCAGGUCAGCAUGACCCUUGAUAUCUUGGGCUACACGCAUAAUACAAUGGCUACUACAACAGGUUGCGACAGGGUAACCUUGAGCUAAUCCUUAGAAAAGUAGCCUCAGUUCGGAUUGAGGGCUGAAACUCGACCUCAUGAAGUUGGAAUUGCUAGUAAUCGCGGGUCAGCUAUACCGCGGUGAAUACGUUCUCAAGUCUUGUACUCACCGCCCGUCAACUCAAGGAAGUUGGGAGUACCCGAAAUCUCACUUAUGUGGGCCUACGGUAAGCUCAAUGACAGGGAGUAAGUCGUAACAAGGUAACC
rnacentral:rRNA from 2 species